UAGUCCACGCUGUAAACGAUGGAUACUAGGUGUUUGGGGCGUUAACCCCCUGAGUACUAAAGCUAACGCAUUAAGUAUCCCGCCUGGGGAGUACGGUCGCAAGGCUAAAACUCAAAGGAAUUGACGGGGGCCCGCACAAGCGGUGGAGUAUGUGGUUUAAUUCGAAGCAACGCGCAGAACCUUACCUACCCUUAACAUCCCGGGACAACCUCAGAGAUGAGGCUUUCUCUUCGGAGACUCGGUGAUAGGUGCUGCAUGGCUGUCGUCAGCUCGUGUCGUAAGAUGUCUGGUUAAGUCCAAAAACGAGCGCAACCCCUAUCCUUAGUUGCCAGCAUUAAGUUGGGGACUCUAGGGAGACUGCCGGUGUUAAACCGGAGGAAGGCGGGAUGACGUCAAGUCCUCAUGGCCCUUACGGGGUAGGGGCUACACACGUACUACAAUGGCAGAAACAAACCGUUGCGAUACCGAGAGGGUGGAGCUAAUCGGGUAAAACACUGUCUCAGUCCAGAUUGGGAGUCUGCAACUCGACUCCAU
rnacentral:rRNA from 1 species